rnacentral:tRNA from 1 species
CGGGGCGUGGCGCAGCUUGGUAGCGCGUCCGGUUUGGGUCCGGAAGGUCGCGAGUUCGAAUCCCGCCGCCCCGA